AACACCGCCGGCUCAGGCAAUCGCGGAAAAUAAAAGUGAUAAGAGCCAUCGUCUCUCUUGUUUUUCUGUAGCUGAGGGUGUUUCGCUUUCCAUCCAGUGGAGUUUAUGUCUUGUUGCUUUUAAAAAGAGUCAUUCUUCAGCAGCAGUUUGACACCAGACAGCCCAAAAAAAGCCUCUUGGAGUGCUUUCCUCUUGCUGCCAUGACCUGACUGCCUGCUGUGUUCUUUAAGCAUGCAUGCAACCUGCAGCCGGGGAAAGGCUGAAUGAAUGGAAUCGAAUGUGCAGCCAAUCAAAGGCCGGCGAAAUGAGCAAGCCCAGGCUGCGGACAAGACCAGCAAACCCUGCUUUGAACACUUCUGAGAUCAAGCCGAGAUAUCAGCUGGAUAAUUCUGUUAAUUGGCCACUUUGUACAUUUGGAACGCAAACAGAAAACACCCCGAAAACUUUUCUGCUCAUUUCUAUGAAAGAGCGCAGUGACCAUUACAGUGGGUCAACCUGAACAGAAAUUUCCAGAAAUAAAAUCACUGCUUUACUUCACCGCAUACUUAUAUAGAUUUUUUUAGAUAGAGUUUUUCUUUAGAUUUGUGUACGUUGUUCCUUGCUUAUGGCUAGUUUUUUGUGUACAAUUUCUUAGUUUUUCUUUUGUUGCAGCACUCCAAAAUUCUAGUUCCAAGAAACAGAAGACACAAAUUAAUCAUUUACUUUAGUGUAUCAUUAAUUUGCAAAAAUGAAGUCACAGAUCUAUUGUGUCAUUUUGUCUUCUGAAUUUCAGCAAAUGUUAUUUUACAUGCUGAGAGAAAAAGAUCUGCUUUUUCUUUGAUAAUGGAGGAACAGAUUACAAAAGCGGUAGCUACUCUUUUUUUGUUGAGCUAUUCUUUCUUUCUUUGGUUUAGCUUGUUUUCACAUUUUUCCCACUGGUUUCUCUAUAUAUCUGUCAGCAUCAUCAAAUAAAUCAAAACCCAAGAUGCCUCCUUGAGUGUGAUACAAAACCCUAAGGAGUCUCUCAUCAUUCAGAGAUAUGACCUGAAAGCAAGAUCUACACAGAUAUGCUU